rnacentral:rRNA from 1 species
UGGGGAAUUUUGGACAAUGGGCGCAAGCCUGAUCCAGCAAUGCCGCGUGCAGGAUGAAGGCCUUCGGGUUGUAAACUGCUUUUGUACGGAACGAAAAGCCUCUCUCUAAUACAGGGGGGUGAUGACGGUACCGUAAGAAUAAGCACCGGCUAACUACGUGCCAGCAGCCGCGGUAAUACGUAGGGUGCAAGCGUUAAUCGGAAUUACUGGGCGUAAAGCGUGCGCAGGCGGUUUUGUAAGACAGUGGUGAAAUCCCCGGCUCAACCUGGGAACUGCCAUUGUGACUGCAAGGCUGGAGUGCGGCAGAGGGGGAUGGAAUUCCGCGUGUAGCAGUGAAAUGCGUAGAUAUGCGGAGGAACACCGAUGGCGAAGGCAAUCCCCUGGGCCUGCACUGACGCUCAUGCACGAAAGCGUGGGGAGCAAACAGGAUUAGAUACCCUGGUAGUCCACGCCCUAAACGAUGUCAACUGGUUGUUGGGGAUUUAUUUCUUCAGUAACGAAGCUAA